GAUUAAGUUAUUAAGGGCGCACGGUGGAUGCCUUGGCACUAGAAGCCGAUGAAGGACGUUACUAACGACGAUAUGCUUUGGGGAGCUGUAAGUAAGCUUUGAUCCAGAGAUUUCCGAAUGGGGAAACCCAGCAUGAGUUAUGUCAUGUUAUCGAUAUGUGAAUACAUAGCAUAUCAGAAGGCACACCCGGAGAACUGAAACAUCUUAGUACCCGGAGGAAGAGAAAGAAAAUUCGAUUCCCUUAGUAGCGGCGAGCGAAACGGGAAGAGCCCAAACCAACAAGCUUGCUUGUUGGGGUUGUAGGACACUCUGUACGGAGUUACAAAGGACGACAUUAGACGAAUCAUCUGGAAAGAUGAAUCAAAGAAGGUAAUAAUCCUGUAGUCGAAAAUGUUGUCUCUCUUGAGUGGAUCCUGAGUACGACGGAGCACGUGAAAUUCCGUCGGAAUCUGGGAGGACCAUCUCCUAAGGCUAAAUACUCUCUAGUGACCGAUAGUGAACCAGUACCGUGAGGGAAAGGUGAAAAGCACCCCGGAAGGGGAGUGAAAUAGAACCUGAAACCGUGUGCUUACAAGUAGUCAGAGCCCGUUAAUGGGUGAUGGCGUGCCUUUUGUAGAAUGAACCGGCGAGUUACGAUUUGAUGCAAGGUUAAGCAGUAAAUGUGGAGCCGUAGCGAAAGCGAGUCUGAAUAGGGCGUUUAGUAUUUGGUCGUAGACCCGAAACCAGGUGAUCUACCCUUGGUCAGGUUGAAGUUCAGGUAACACUGAAUGGAGGACCGAACCGACUUACGUUGAAAAGUGAGCGGAUGAACUGAGGGUAGCGGAGAAAUUCCAAUCGAACCUGGAGAUAGCUGGUUCUCUCCGAAAUAGCUUUAGGGCUAGCCUCAAGUGAUGAUUAUUGGAGGUAGAGCACUGUUUGGACGAGGGGCCCCUCUCGGGUUACCGAAUUCAGACAAACUCCGAAUGCCAAUUAAUUUAACUUGGGAGUCAGAACAUGGGUGAUAAGGUCCGUGUUCGAAAGGGAAACAGCCCAGACCACCAGCUAAGGUCCCAAAAUAUAUGUUAAGUGGAAAAGGAUGUGGCGUUGCCCAGACAACUAGGAUGUUGGCUUAGAAGCAGCCAUCAUUUAAAGAGUGCGUAAUAGCUCACUAGUCGAGUGACACUGCGCCGAAAAUGUACCGGGGCUAAACAUAUUACCGAAGCUGUGGAUUGUCCUUUGGACAAUGGUAGGAGAGCGUUCUAAGGGCGUUGAAGCAUGAUCGUAAGGACAUGUGGAGCGCUUAGAAGUGAGAAUGCCGGUGUGAGUAGCGAAAGACGGGUGAGAAUCCCGUCCACCGAUUGACUAAGGUUUCCAGAGGAAGGCUCGUCCGCUCUGGGUUAGUCGGGUCCUAAGCUGAGGCCGACAGGCGUAGGCGAUGGAUAACAGGUUGAUAUUCCUGUACCACCUAUAAUCGUUUUAAUCGAUGGGGGGACGCAGUAGGAUAGGCGAAGCGUGCGAUUGGAUUGCACGUCUAAGCAGUAAGGCUGAGUAUUAGGCAAAUCCGGUACUCGUUAAGGCUGAGCUGUGAUGGGGAGAAGACAUUGUGUCUUCGAGUCGUUGAUUUCACACUGCCGAGAAAAGCCUCUAGAUAGAAAAUAGGUGCCCGUACCGCAAACCGACACAGGUAGUCAAGAUGAGAAUUCUAAGGUGAGCGAGCGAACUCUCGUUAAGGAACUCGGCAAAAUGACCCCGUAACUUCGGGAGAAGGGGUGCUCUUUAGGGUUAACGCCCAGAAGAGCCGCAGUGAAUAGGCCCAAGCGACUGUUUAUCAAAAACACAGGUCUCUGCUAAACCGUAAGGUGAUGUAUAGGGGCUGACGCCUGCCCGGUGCUGGAAGGUUAAGAGGAGUGGUUAGCUUCUGCGAAGCUACGAAUCGAAGCCCCAGUAAACGGCGGCCGUAACUAUAACGGUCCUAAGGUAGCGAAAUUCCUUGUCGGGUAAGUUCCGACCCGCACGAAAGGCGUAACGAUUUGGGCACUGUCUCAACGAGAGACUCGGUGAAAUCAUAGUACCUGUGAAGAUGCAGGUUACCCGCGACAGGACGGAAAGACCCCGUGGAGCUUUACUGUAGCCUGAUAUUGAAAUUCGGCACAGCUUGUACAGGAUAGGUAGGAGCCUUUGAAACGUGAGCGCUAGCUUACGUGGAGGCGCUGGUGGGAUACUACCCUAGCUGUGUUGGCUUUCUAACCCGCACCACUUAUCGUGGUGGGAGACAGUGUCAGGCGGGCAGUUUGACUGGGGCGGUCGCCUCCUAAAAGGUAACGGAGGCGCUCAAAGGUUCCCUCAGAAUGGUUGGAAAUCAUUCAUAGAGUGUAAAGGCAUAAGGGAGCUUGACUGCGAGACCUACAAGUCGAGCAGGGUCGAAAGACGGACUUAGUGAUCCGGUGGUUCCGCAUGGAAGGGCCAUCGCUCAACGGAUAAAAGCUACCCCGGGGAUAACAGGCUUAUCUCCCCCAAGAGUUCACAUCGACGGGGAGGUUUGGCACCUCGAUGUCGGCUCAUCGCAUCCUGGGGCUGUAGUCGGUCCCAAGGGUUGGGCUGUUCGCCCAUUAAAGCGGUACGCGAGCUGGGUUCAGAACGUCGUGAGACAGUUCGGUCCCUAUCCGUCGUGGGCGUAGGAAAUUUGAGAGGAGCUGUCCUUAGUACGAGAGGACCGGGAUGGACAUACCUCUGGUGUACCAGUUGUCGUGCCAACGGCAUAGCUGGGUAGCUAUGUGUGGACGGGAUAAGUGCUGAAAGCAUCUAAGCAUGAAGCCCCCCUCAAGAUGAGAUUUCCCAACUUCGGUUAUAAGAUC
rnacentral:rRNA from 3 species